GGAUUCUCCUGGAUUAAAGAUUUGCCUGGCGUAAUGGAUACUUUGAAAACCACAAGAGCGCAGCUAAUAGUACUGAAGAAUGAUGGUGGAAGUUCAUCCUGUGUGGGUGUAUCGUGUGCAUCACCUUCUGUCCCGUCUGAAGAGUUGAACUCAUCUCCUUGUCAAGUGUCGUACUCAAGGCCUAAACAGCUGCUACUUUGGCAAAGUUUCCUGGGACUUCAUAAGCUGUG